GAGGAUGUGGCUCAGCGGUAGAAGCGGCAGAUUGCAAUCAUAAGCAAGUUAUCUGUAGGUCCCCGGUUCGAUCCCGGGCAUUCUCU
rnacentral:tRNA from 1 species